UGUUAUGUGGCUUAGUUGGUUAAAGCGCUGGACUAGCGAAACGGAGUCGUGGGUUCGAAUCCCAACAAAGCAA
rnacentral:tRNA from 1 species